AUGAACGCUGGCGGCGUGCCUAAUACCUGCAAGUCGCGCGAACGGACGAGAAGCUUGCUUCUCUGAUGUUAGCGGCGGACGGGUGAGUAACACGUGGAUAACCUACCUAUAAGACUGGGAUAACUUCGGGAAACCGGAGCUAAUACCGGAUAAUAUUUUGAACCGCAUGGUUCAAAAGUGAAAGACGGUCUUGCUGUCACUUAUAGAUGGAUCCGCGCUGCAUUAGCUAGUUGGUAAGGUAACGGCUUACCAAGGCAACGAUGCAUAGCCGACCUGAGAGGGUGAUCGGCCACACUGGAACUGAGACACGGUCCAGACUCCUACGGGAGGCAGCAGUAGGGAAUCUUCCGCAAUGGGCGAAAGCCUGACGGAGCAACGCCGCGUGAGUGAUGAAGGUCUUCGGAUCGUAAAACUCUGUUAUUAGGGAAGAACAUAUGUGUAAGUAACUGUGCACAUCUUGACGGUACCUAAUCAGAAAGCCACGGCUAACUACGUG
rnacentral:rRNA from 1 species